AUAUUUGAAGCCAGACACGUGACGUACGAAUAGGAAGUUGGAGAUAUACGAGCAGAAGCAUUGGAAACGAAUUUUAAUCUUCUGAUAAGAAUUUUAAUUUUUGUAAUCUAUCUUUAAUCGCUUUUAUAAAUUCUAUCAUAAUCCAAUUAUUAUACACACACACACGCACACACAUACACACACACAUAUAUAUAUAUAUAUUAAAUAAAAUUAUCUAAUCAUUUAAUUAAUACGAGUCUGAUUGUUCAAUUUUAAUCAAGAUUCAGCCUGACAGUUUAAUCUUUGUCAUUUUUAAUAACAGUCUUAUCCAAGGCGUAAAUUUAAAUGUAAAGUUACGAGUCAAUCGUAAAGUUUUUUUCGAAUAAUAUUCUUGAAAAUUGCUACGAAGAAGGUUUUUCAAAGUUACGGCUGUAUUUUGCAUACAAUGUACGCAAACUUGCAUGAUGUGUAACGAAGGGAUGCUGUACACACCCUUGACUCGAUUAAAUGACCCCUAACUCGUGGAAUCUGUUUAAAGCUCCGCGUUACUGUGGAUUUACGAUACGUCAAUCUCUAUUAAAAGGCGUGCACAGGGAAGAGUUAAAGUUUCCCUCUCCAUGAAUAAUUGUAUCAAGCAUCGAGCUACUGGGGUAUAAAAGUCUUUAAUCUCGACAAUGGAGAUGAGACUGUGUUUGUACAUCGAGUGAAACCAAUUUGUGUCUCGGACGUUGACGCAAACAAAUAUUAGAAUAUCAGGAAAUUUGAAAAAAGGGACGCUCUCAAUUAUUAUGUCUUAAUUUAUCUUUUAUUUUGUUCGUCUCUUAGCUCACUUAACUUCUUAUCUGUUCUGUUCAUCUGUCUUUUGAAACCACACAAACUUUGUUAAUUGACAACAAUCUAAUGAAACUUUUAGUUCAUCUUAAUUCAAUGUUUAUCUUGUGUAUGCUUCUUACCAAACUAUAAAAAUUGUAUUAUCCACAACCCUUUCUGAUUGACAAGGAUCAUCAUGAAAUUGUCAGUUCGCACCUUAAUUUAAUCGAUUUCUUUUAUUUCGUUUAUCUUUCCUCUCGAGUUAUAAUAAUUCUAUAUUGACAAUAAUACGAGUUUCAGUUAGUUAAAUUGGUUUUGAUACAUUGUAUACUUUAAUAUAUUCUUGAUCAAACCUCUACCACUUUUAAUCAGAUUACGAAACAAACAUUUGCUUUUCUUCCUAAACUUGCUAACCACAUUUUCCAUUUAAAUGUCAAAUUACAAAAGUUCUAUUAACAGCCACUCCAGACCAACUAGUACAGAACUCUCGAUCCAUCCCCUACGUCCACCAUUUCCCAAAUUUCAAAUCUAAACAAAGUCAAUCGCUCAAUCCUCAAACACCCCACACCAACACACCAAUACACGCUUAAUAAACCCUCGCAAACCAUCAGCGAACCCCAUACCAAGGUACGAUCCUUUUUCCACACAAGCUACAAAGGAUGCUCGUAUUUAGCCUAUCGGAGCAAGGGGGUUGAAUUCUCUCAAGGACACGUCAGUGACGUCGUGGAAAAGGGGGAGGGGUGCUAUUUUAACAGGCGACCCUGGACGAUCGAUCGACUCGAAUUAACGACGGCGCGUCGACCGAUGUGACGGAACACAGAGAAGUAUUUCGUGCUGCUUCCCAUCCUUGGUGAUUUGGCACCGCGCGGCCACGCGAGGUCGUCGAACUCGGGGCGUGACUGACUCCGCAAGAGGGUAACUUCAACCACCAUGGCGAACUUCUACUUCGCACGGCCGAUUGAUCGACCACCCGAUGGGAGUGUGGGCCCCGUAUCUCGAGGAUUUAUCUAGCGCGGACCCCCACUGAAAUUUCCAACUUGAACUUCCCUGUUUUGCAUCCAGAACGCGUGAUUCCCACGAUAACGUCGAUCAUUUUUUGUUAAGGUUUGAAUUAGGCUGGUGGAUAGAAAAAUGGGCCUUAAUGAGCGGUUUUAACGUCUUAAGCAUCGCACAAUGGAAGCGGUAAGUCAUGCAAAUGCAAGGAAUGGAGAUUUUGAAUGGGAAGAAAAAACACAUUUAUAUUCGUUCCGAUACUUAUGGCAUUUGUUCCUUGAAUGUUGUGGACUUGUAGCGUUAAUGUAGUUUAUGUAGUUUAUGUACUUUAUCAUCUUAACUUCUUUAUUUCUUCGUAUUUCUCGAAAAUUAACGUUUUCACAUAUGUGAAUUUCAAUACAAACUAUAUUUCGGUAUUGGAAUUAAAUUUCGAGAUAAAUUGGGUUAUAUUAUGAUAAGAUAAUUAAAAAAUCUCAAUCUUUUUUUCGUAUUUAUAUGUAUGGAAUAUAUAAAUACACCAAAAGCGAAGAAGAAUAAAAAAUAAAAAUAUGGGACAUACAGAUGUAUCAUACAAGUUGUUCGUGGAUGAUAUUUCAUGGCAUUUCCACUUUCUUUUGUUUCGUAUAGACGUAAUACGCGAUCCCAUAAAAUCAAGCAAGUCUUCUAUAAUCUAAGGUUACGGGUACUUUAAAAUAGAACUACACGCUCGAAGUCUUUUUCCAGAAACCAGUGUCGCAAGUCAUUCGAGAAUCUUCGCGACAUAAUAACACUGUGUCAUUCUAUUUCAUACAACAGAGAUCGUGAAAAUGAGAUCCAUUUUUAUCGAUGUUUUCUUCAUAUCAUUCAUAAAAUUAUAUUUUAUGUCAUCAAACAACAUAUUAUUGAAAUUUAAAUACUGAGGCUAUUUUUACGAUAGAAACUUCCAAAAUUCUUCUCCCAACGAUAAAGGAAAAUAAUGGAAAAAAGAAUUAAAAUUCGCAAAGAGAAUCAAGAAGCGAUAAAGUAAAUAUAACAUAAUAGAAGAUAAAAAGAUAAAGUAAAUAUAACAUAAUGGAAGAUAAAACGAUAAAGUAAAUAUAAGAUCGAAAUCAAAUAAUUAAAUUACCUUCGCUAAUCAUAUCACGUACAGUCCUGUUCAUAAAUCGUACGCUUGCUUGUAUUGAGCAAAAUGAUUGUUAGAGUGAACGCAUGAUCUUUUGGAUUAUUUACCGAAUACUUGGUCGAAUUAAAAUAUGCAAGUUUUUAUACCAUCAAAUAACCUGUAUUGUGAAAUAAAGUCAGCACUUACGUCAAAUGUGCAGGUGAUUAUGAAAGUGGCCUAAAUCAAUAACGAAAAAGAAAAUGAAUUUAUCGCUCAUUUUGCUUCGCGUCUAUUUGCAUUGUAAUAAUGUGAAAUCAUCUUUGCAAAGCUCUUUUGUAAAAAUUCAACUGGUGGAGCGAAUUGGUUGUUGCAUCGUUCAACAGAAUUCAGUUCAUACAUCAAACGCAAUACUUUUAAAUAUCUCGAGACGAAAAAUCUGUGACUUAGGCCACUUUCAUAAUCACCGGCACAAAUCUCAAAAUAAUGGACGAAGCAACGUGAAAAGAAUUUUUUAUACAAAUGUUUAAUUCUAACAAAUUUUGCACAAACUAGGCAAAUGACUUAUCGACGGAAGUGUAUAUUUUUCACUUUAUUCUAUGUCUUCCGUAUCAUUCGUCAAAUUAUCUGUAAUCGAUAAAAAAAUAAUUUUAUUGUUGAACACUAACCUCUCUCGAAACAAAAGCUCUCGAAACUUCUUCCCUGAACAAUGGAAAAAAGAAAGGAAGAAUGAAAAAAGCUGAGAAGAAAAAGAAACGGCAGAAAGAAAUGAAGAUACUCUGAAUUUCUCUCGUAUCCCGAGUUUCGCUCCAUUACACGCGGCUAAGGAUGCAUCAAAGAGAGCCGCGACGCCCUAAAAGCUGGCGGAUCUCGAUUUCUGACCACUCUCGAAUUCUCCGGAAGCCUUUGGGGCCGCGCGGCCGGCGAGAACGCUUUCAACCCUCUCGCACGAGCACGCGGAGCCACGCCAGCCCGGAAGGCGGUUUGUAACGUGGGCGGAAAAGCUCAGAUCAAUAUCAAGCGCGAAUUGGAACGUUACGUGGUGAAAAUCGACCCGUGACCUAGUGUGGACCCGCCCGUAGGUGCCGCGCUGCCGGUGGCGCCAUCCGAAACAUCAUUUCUUCACACAAAGCCUUACACAUGUAAACACACGUACAUAUAAAAGCGAAAUAUUCGACGACCUACGUCUAGGACGUCUACGUGGAGUAAUUCAACGGGUUCCCUCAACGUCUUAAUUUCGUCGCAGAGUUUGUUGAAGUCUCCCAUCACCAACGCUGCAAUUUGGUUAAUUCUCAUCCAGAGUUCCUGGCACGCUUUUAAUUCCCAUGAAAGGGAAUUCUCGUUAGCACAUUCGUUACAGCUAAAAUACAAUUACCUAUUCUUCGAACUGUAGUUUUCUUUCUUUUCUUUUCUUUUCUUUUUUUUUAUCGGAGAUGCAUUUAUUUUAAGUGGCAGAAGCAUGAAAAUCUUUUACUGUUCUUUGACGGAGAAAGAGAGAGUAAUUUAUUUUAGCGAAGAAGAGGCAAUAGUUUAUUUUAUUUACGAUAAAUGAAUGAAGUUGGCAAUUAAAAUGUGCUUGUAAGUUCUUUUUGCAGGAAUUGUACAUAAAUGGAAAAAGUACGGUGAAGUUGUUUGAAGAUUGAAAUUGAGAAUAGAACUGCGUGGGUUGGCUUCAGAUCGUUUGUUAGUAGAAUGAGUAAGUGUCUGGUCAGACGAAGGACGAUGAGCGGGAUCUGUGUGAAUCGAGGAAGCGCGUAACGGAAACGAUUGAUGUGGGCGUUAAUUGCGUGGAUAGCAAUUAUAAUGAAUUGGAAAUAAAGGGGUUGCAGGUUUUAUUGAGGAAUAAUAUAAAGAUAUAUGAAAUUAUCCUUAAUCUAUAAACUAUAUUAAGUCUGUGAAAUAUAAGCGACACAGUUUUUGUUUUCUUAUCGAAUAGAUAAGAUAACAAAGAUUAUUGCUAGUUAUGCAAUACUCUCAUUGUUUUCAUGUUUCUUUUAUGGAAUUGUUUGCUAAUAAUUUUUGCUUUCUGAGUCUUCCUGCACAAUUAUUUACGAUCUAGUAAUAUUAGCCAAUAGAAUAGGUGAUCAAUUUUAUUGCACGAAUAAUAUUAUUACAAUAUUAUAAUGUUAAGAGUAUGGUGUAUAGAGAAAUAAGUAAAUUUAACUAAUUCCAAACAUGGUAAAUAUCAAAAGUCCACAGUUUUCAUGUAACAGGAAUGCAUUUCUUGUAUUUAUUGACAAUAUUUAUUUCUAAAAUCUAUAUUUACCAUUUUAUUUUCUCAAUUCGUUUAAAACCCACACCUAAUCAGAAGACUAUAAAAUGUAGGGAUAGAACUGUCACAAUUAAUCAGUCAUAUUUUCUCCGCGUCCUAAUCAAUUUUAUCGUGGUACUACCGCCCCAAAUACCAACUUCCUUUCCAGAACAAAAAGGUUCAUCAGGAAAGGUCGUAACAAUAUAGUUUCAUGCGCCAGUGUGUAUCGCGUAAUGGGUGGCAACUUACGCUCCAGCUCCUUAUUUGCACGAGGAAAGUUCCGUGUGCGCAUCAAGGCAACAUAUGCGAUGCGGAGGAAGACGUGGAGGAUUACUAUUAGAAUAGACCUAACAUUAAUUCCGCGUGCGGUAGAUUAGGAUACUCUCUAGGUUUCCCCUUCUGUCCCUAUUUUCCCUCGAUUUCUCCGUUAAACACGUGGAUUAUUUACUUUUUCUGAGCCUUUUUUGAGCCUUUUCUUCUCUUCUGCGUGCUUGUAUCCAACGUAAAAUAAUUUCAUUCAUUUUAUUUUCUCGAGCAAUUAUUAUUCUCUUCUACAGAACAAUUAUCAUUCUUUUCUAUUAUUAUUCUCUUCUAAACUCUACUAUAUUGGUUCUUUGGAUCUUUCUCGACCCGUUCUUCUUCAUUUAUUCCUCCAAAGUCUUUUAAAUUUUAUGCAGCAUAAAAUUACGUAUUGUUUUCCAAUUUUUGCUAUGGUUGAGAUUAUUUGCGAAAUAUCAAAAUAAAAAUUCCUUCUGUUUGUUUAAAUAUGAGCCUUGAAACAAAAAUAUGGGAAGAUUCAGAAAAGGUUGAUAUUAGAAGCGCCAGAGUAGUACAAUGACCAAUGACUAAAAUUGGUCAAUUAGUAAUUUUCCAUGGAAAUUUUUAUAAAUUUGCCACAUUUUUGGAUACUUGAGUAACUCUUUUUGUAAAAUAUAUAGACGGAAGAUACUUUUUCUUCUUAUACCGCACGUCUUCUUCAUGCAACUUUUAUUUCCAUUUGCUGAACGCAAGUUUUAUACUUCAGUUAUUAGCAGUUCUAACGUUGGAUAUUUUUGCAAGUAACAGCAUUUUUGCUAGAAUCUCUUUCUAAUCCUCGUAGGGCUUCGAUUAAUUCUAUUUGGUCCGUGAAGUUGUAUAGUUUUUUGCGUUGCACGAAGUUUGAAUAACAAUAUGUGCGUUAUAUUAAUACGUGUGGAAUAUUCUAACAACGAUAUUUGUAUAUUUCGUAUAUAACGAAGAUGCUAGGUUUCCGCUUGGAUCGAUCGAUACUGUCGUGCAACUACGAUAUUUAAAUUUUUCAUACGUAUUGCUUUUGACCCCUCUGGAAAUUGUAAUUUGAGAGGUAGAAAUGAGACACAAAGCAAUAUCAACGUGAAUUAAUGAUAUACGAAGACACCGUAUAAGCUCAUUAGCAUACAGAAUGUGACAGAUGGGAAUAUCAAUUGUACUUUCAUUAGAACAUUAAUGAUGCAUGACCGUAUCGCUUAAAGACGUAUCAUAUUCCAAUUAGGUAUUCAUCAUGCAUAAAAUAUUGAUAGCAGUUUAUCUGGAAAUUAUUCUCUUUGGAAAACUCUAAUACCUUCGAUUAAAAUUCGAGCUAAGUAAUAAUCAAUUCGAGAUAGACAAAAAUAAAUAAAAAUAGUUAAUAUUUGUAACCAUGAGUAAUAAUGGAAUCAUUAACAAUCUCCAUUUGCAGAAAAAUGUUUGUGGUUUACGCAAUAAGAAGCUUGCAGAGCAAAGAAUACACUCAAAGUGGAUUAUACCGGUUGCGGCCGGACAACGCGUAUCAAGUUCGCUCGUUUGAAAUGAAACUCGCAUGGGCACACUUUCAUUCGAGCGUACUCAAGGAAGACUAAACACAGCAAAAACACGUCAACUUUUUAACCAAUUGUUUAUACAAUAAAUAACAGAUGUACGAAGUGCUAUGGCAAAAACUAGGAACAAAACAAGGGGCCAGACUUAACGAAGAUUACGGCAAUGCGUGGAACUUUUUUUCAUUUCAUUCUUAUUCUUUACGUAGUAUAAUAAUUCUUACAGUGAUAAAACCUGUGUGCUGAAUCUUAAUAAUUUUUCGAAAUUUACGUAGGAAACAGGCGUGAAAUAGUGUAGAAAAAAUUGGAAGAAAACAAGGCGCUCUGCGUGAAUAAAGAUAAUUAUCACUCACAUAAGCGAGAGCAUUGAAACAGCUACUUGUUCGUAAAAAAAGCUGUGAAAUACCAGCAAAGAAAAAAAAAAUGGAAGAAACCAAAAAGAUUUGUAUGAAGAUUGAAAAAAGAAAAGAAUCCGCAGACACACGUUAUGCAUAAAAAUAAAAAAUACGAGAAACGAUACUCUAAUUUCAACGCCUCGUUCCAAUUUUCACCAAUCCCUUGACCGACUUUCACUCGAAUGCUCGAAAAGGACGCUUUCUGCCUACAAACCACACUGCCUUAUCGUCGACUACCAUCGAUUUCCUCAUCGAGACGAAAUGAAAGAUGAAAAUCAUCGUUGCCUGGAAAUCGAAUGAAUUUCUCAGCCACGUCUUCCGGAUUCCAUUGUGCUAUUGAAACAUUGUCAUUGACGUAACUAUGGCUGGGUCAAGGUUCGCAGGUUCCAUUAUCGAUCUUACUGUAUUUCUAAUGAACGCUGUUCUGUCACCGUGUUCUGUCUCGCGCAGUGGCGACAAGUGUGUAAUUACUAAAAAUAAAUGGUUUUCGACGAAACGGUGCUCCUUCGAAACGAACUAGUUGAAAUCGUUUAAUUAUAAUUCCACUAAUGAGGUAAUUAAGGAAGCUCGUUUUUCAUUUAAUAAAACAUGAAAUCCAAAAAUCCAAUAAUAACGUGACGACUCGCGAGUCAAUCAAUUUUUAAUGAAACAAUAUUACAUAGGAAUUAUUGCAUAGAGCAAUCGAGUUAGCUUUUUCAGAUGAAAGUCUAUUACGAUUAUACCGAAGAAUUGAUCGAAUGAAGCCAAUUUAUUUCGUGCGUUAUAUUUCCUCGGCAACUCUCUAUAUAUGCUUAAGGUUAUGAUCGUAAUACGACGAAUGCCAACGAUUGUAUUUGAAAUAUUGCACGCUGAGAUAAAUGAUUUAAUUUUGCAAAUUAACCAUCCAGUCACGAACGAUGUUGAAAUCGCCUUCUAUUAGACAUACUCUGCUAAUUUCAUCAGGCCACGCCAUUUGUAUGUUGCAAGUUAAUACAAAAAAGAAUAUUUCCCUCUUCUUCCUUUAUUUUCAUUCUUUUUCCUUGCUGCAUUGAAAAUCUCCUAAUGAUAAACCUAUACAAGAUAUGUAUUUUGUUCGCGAGCUCGUACAAAAAAAUAUGAAAAUCGCUCGCGACUCAAGACUUAGGUAAAGCAAAUCCAUCCAAAACCAAUUUUUACAAAACUCACGAUUCCUCGCCUACCGCAAACCUUAAAUUAUCGAACAGCGAAUGUUGGCAGACGCAGCCCUUAAAAAACCUAUAAAACAGAGCGAAACGUUUGGAGUGACUCUCGAUUUCUCGGUAGAACCGGUCGAGUUUCGAGAAAACGUUCUCGAUGCGGCUGGAAAGGGGGCGUAACCUCUUCGAAGAUUUACUUCCGACGGCAGGGUAUACGCAUUACCUGGAUGCAAUUUAUUGCCAGCAAGCACACAUAUACGUGCAACUCCAUUGAAUAAUAGCGCAUUACCCGCGUGUUGCGGUCGUGUACACUCGCGCGCACACGGAGGCCAUACUAAUUCCUUGUAUAAAUAAAGGACUUAUCUGCGACCUGCACUCGUUCUCUAGACGUUAUGAUAUACUAACCUCAUUAGCAUGAGGCGCAGCGAAGAAGUAUGGCUUCAAUAACGGCGACGCUGCGUGAAGAUCGAUGAUGCGGUUGAAAGCAACUCUUUGUGUAUUAGAUUCGUUUGAACGAUCGAUUGUCAAUGUUUCUGAUAUAAGAGACGAGUAAUUUAGCUGCUUAAUUGUUUGUUGACGAUUAAAGCGAGUUUGAUCGUAGAUUUGAUACUGAUCUUAAUGGAUCUUAUGGUUAUUUGAAAAAUAUUGAAGAUUAAUACAAUUUAGAGUAGACUGUUGUAUUAUUAACAUCAGAUUAACGUUUUCUUAUCUUUUGUUUUAUUAAUUUGUUGAGAGUUAGGUGACUAUAGGUAGCUGUAAGUUUUGGGAAUGGUAUUCGUUGAACGUAGUUUUAGUUAAUUCUUUAAUGUAAUUGUUGCACUUUUGUUUAAAUCUAAAAAUGUUGUAGAAAAUAAAGUAUGACAGAAAUACGAUUUUUCUUCAAAAUAUUAUUUCUCUCGCAAGAUAUUUAUCUUUUAAAUUAAUCCGCCUUCUCGAUUAUCAUCGUUAUCUACUUUUUCCAUAAGUUGCUUUAUUAUAAGCUGCUAAAUUAAGUCUAAUUUAUUCUUCGAUAAUAACGAUAAUAGAUAAACGAUAAUAGAUACACUGAUUCACAAAUAAAAAUAUCAAAGAAACAAACGUUUCAUCACAAUUAAUGAUUAUCGCUGUAUCGUAAUGAGUAUCAACGAAAGCUUUUUUUCUCCAUUUAGUAAAGGUGUUCAAUUAACGUAUCUUCCACCCGCUGUAAUAUAAUGUUUGUAGAUGAAACAUGUACAAGGCAAACAAGUACGUACGUGUAUUAAAAAUAUAGCACAUUAUUCAUUAUAGAUGAAUGAAUGAAGCUCAUUAAAUAUUUCUACAAAGACAUAUGAAAUUAAAUUUUACACUGAGAGUAGAGAUUCUAAAAUCUAUAGUGAUCCAGCUAUUUUAUAUACUUCUUAGUAAAUAAUAUAAAUUCUUAAAAAUGUAUAACGUACAUUAUGACCACAAUUCUUCAUGAACGCACAAUUCAUUCUUCUAAUAGAAGUCAUCUUGUCGAUCAUCGUGUCAGUUGUCUUAUCCGGUUUCCAAGUUACUUGCAAUAUUCCCAAUCCAAUCCAGUCAAAUACGAGUCCCGUUAAAGUGUCGAAUCGACAUGAAAAUUCACGAUCCUAUGACACGUGUGUAAUUAAUAAUCGUGUGUCAUUCCAGCCUCAAAUUACACCAGCUGCAUCUGUCACCGUGUGUUAUCGGUACCGUUACCUUUUUCCUGCUAUCGCUCAUUAAUACCGCUAUUACCGCGUUGUAUCGACCUAUUAUCAUAUAUCUACUGUUCGUUCCGUUAUCCCUGUGAACGCCAAUUCUUUUCUUUGCUCGACUUUCGAGUUGGAAAUUAUCACGCUCAAAUAAGAGAAUACAAUAGUUUAGAGGUGUGAUACGUUAACGGUGUAAUAUUACCGAUAUGUAAACCAUUUAAAAUGUAAUUCGAGAUUCGCGAAAAAUUCCAACGAAUAACGAAGAACUAUUGGGUUGGCAACUAAGUGAUUGCGGAUUUUGCCAUUAGGUGGUAAUAACAAAAUCCGCAACCACUUAGUUGCCAACCCAAUAGUUACCGAAACCAUCAUACAGCUAAAACAGCUUAGAAGUAUAGCGUUUACUCUACAGUUGUGUAAUUAUAUAAAUUAUCCUUUGACUUAUAAUUAUAAUUGUGUAACGAAGUGUUUCCAAAUUGUCAUUUACUUUGUGAUUCCAUAAAUAAAAAUGCGAUUUUCGUAUCCCUUUGAAUCGGAUGGACACAACGAUAAAUCAUAAAACAUAGAAUUUGUGAUCCAACAGUUCAAGUUUUAUUGCAAACGUUUAAUCGUUAAAGGACGUGAAAGUGCACAUUAUGCUAAUAAAGAACAGGCUUCGGAAAUUUCCAAAAAAUCGAAUAGCGGAAAGGGAAACAUGGAGCAUAUGGUGCACGCGACCGAUGCAAAAUAUGUAUAGGCUAUAAAUUCGCGCGGAUAUCAGUGUGAUCGUGGCCAAAAAUUAUGGCUUGCCGGAAAACGCGAUGGAUGAUGCCGAAACGAAAACGAAGUGCACCGGCGUGCAUCGACCAAUCGCUGCGGUCUUGUGUAAGUCGUGCGACCACUGAUUGGAACGGGCGUGGGUGUAUCGAAUCGAUUAGACCGGCGAUCGAUUAUCGCGCGAACCACUCCGCGCUCGUCCCGGAAACUCUCCACUAUUGCUCCACUUUCCACGUUGUCCGUGAUUCCUUCCUCUCUUCUCUUCUCCCCAUUUUCCCUACAUUAGGUAUUCCUUUUAUUAGUCGGUGGUUUACUUUUGGCAAUCUCUGUACCGAUUAUUAACUCGUAAGGGCGAAGUCUAUCAGACUUCAAUAACUUUUACUUUCAUGGUAAUUUAAUAAAUAUCGAUCGUAAAGUGUUGUGUGUAUCAAUAUCUAAUAAUCUAUAGAUGUACGUAUAAUUUAAUAGUGUUGAAAUAAUAUAAUACGUAUAACAUAGAAUACUUCUUUAUUUUUUAAUCACAUAUUUGUGGAUUUCUGAACAUAUUACCAAUAUGACGAUAUGAUCAGCCAUACCAGUUACAGAUCGACUUUAAUGGGUUCGCAAUCAAUGAGAUAAAACCUAAGUAAGAUUGAUAUAGAACACGCAAUGAAGAUUUGUAGAAGUCAUUUGCUACCAUUAUAGAAAAAUAAUCAAUCGAGAGUUAGACAUUGGCGUGCUCAAUUCUUUGAUUUAAAGCUGAGACCUCGUCGAAAAGAUUUUAAAUAAAGUAGAGAAGAAGUUCGGAAAAUUCUAAACGUGUUAUGUGGGAUCAAAGAACGCGAAAUAUUAUAAUAUAAAAAUUCAUCGGCUAUACAACGUACAUAUAUACAAGGUAAGAUAUUAAUCGUUUAUAAUUUACGAGAUCCUUCAAACGAAAUAAGAAUCCUGAAAGUUUCUACAGCUUCUAAAUAUCUUCUCGGAUUAAUUGCUUUUCUGUAAAUAUUCUAAUACUUGUGAGUGUAUUCAUGUACUUUUGUAUCUUUAAAUUGCUUUUAGUGGAACAAGAGAUUCAGCCAGAUACCAGAUAAAGUUCUUUGUUUGUGCAUGGAAAGUUUACCGCCACAGAGUCUAGACAGGAAAUUUUCGAGCCUUGAACAGGUGAACAAUUAGCGUUCUUCGUUUUUUAUAAACCUAUAAUACGCGCUAUGUGUACAUAAUAUUCUCUGUUAUCGACUGUUAAUUGGUCUUUAACCAGUUGCUUGGAAGUAUUCUUUCCAAUUAUUCCCAGACGCGUUUGAGCAACUCAUUAACAUGUCUUCAGUCAACUUCAGGAAUUACCUGUUUUAAUACACUAACCGAGUAAUUCGUUGUUACAUGAGGCAGUUAUGCGAUCGGCGAGAAUAUUGCAAACAAUGAACAGACGUCAUAUUCCAAUUAAAAGAAACUUGCGUCAAGGGUAUAAUGAAAUGACAAAAUGAAUUACCUUAGUAAAUAAUUAUCAAUUUUUUAUCAUGAAAUCGAGUGUGCCAGAAUAGCAGGGCGUUCGAAUAACACGUGCAGCCCAGAAAAAUCCAACAGCCGAAAAUCAAACACGCCAAAUCAAACGUGAAAUAAAUUCAACAUUGAUAUCUCUGUGAUAAAUCACUCAACUCCAAUCCGUGAUUAUACGUGGUAAUUAUCAAUGCUAGCAGAUAUUCUCGGUAAAUUUAAUUACAAUAUUUGUACGAGUUGAAAUUAUCCUCGUUGAAAAGCCUCGAACAAUAAAAACGAUCCUAACAGCGACAAUGAAAGAAAUGUAAUUGAAGAUUUAUUCGGAAUAAUGCAGCAGACUGAUUUCUCUGAUGGAUACGCUCUUUGCUAUUUACAUACUCGUAUUUUUCUUUCCUGCUUUUUCAUCGAAAAUAUGAGAUUGCACGAGUGAUGGCCGGACGAAUAACGGUACCGAACUCUCCGGCACGUUUGCAUUAUGUAACCAUGUUUUAAAAGCCAGUCGAGGAGGUAAUUAACCACUGUUUGCCGUGCAAUUAUAGGAAACGAGGUGUUUUCGAUCCAUUGCCGCGUACUUGAACGCGCGGAGAGCUAUCGUUGUCGGACGAACGGGGAAGCAUUACGAAUUCAUGGUGAAAAAUACAGCGCACCGCGCUCUGUAAUUGAGCAAACCGGAGAUCAACUUUUCGAAAGAUGUCAGAGACGUAUUAAUGGUAGCGUUAUUUAUUUAACGAACACAGUCCAGACAAAUUGAAAUGGAUUAUUUAUUAUCUUGCGAAAUUAUACACCAGAGGAUGAGAUUUUCACUUUUAAGAGUAGUUAUCGCUUUUUGGUCGGUGGAUUGAUUUUGCUUGUUGCAUAGCUGCGGUAGAAUUGCGAAACUUUCAAUUUAUAUAUAGAAAUUGAUGCAAUUGUGUUGCAUAAUUUGUUUGAUAAAAUGGUGAAUAUAUUAGGAUGGUUCAUAAGCUCGUGCAUUUUCUUGAUAUAUUUCCUUCUACUAUAUUUUAGAGCGAAUAAAGUUAUUUGUUUUAUAUGUUAAUGCUAUGUCGGUCUUGGUUUCUUGGUGUCCUAUAUCUCGUUCGAUUAAUUCAUUGCAUUUCAUCAUUAUUUGCUCAGAAAGAAAUAUGGAAAAAUUAGAAAAACGUAUACUUCUGUUUCACUACUGGAGGUAGAACUUCAAAGCAGGAGCGACGAAGAAAAUAGUAUAUUUUUCCACGUAUAAAUCAAAUAACUUUAGUCGUUCGACAAAAUAAUACAAAGGAAUAUAUGUAAAAAUCGUACGAGCUUAUGCAUCACCUUGGUACUAACCAAUUUGGGAAAUUAUUUGCAACAUCAUUUUUCUCCACUCGUCAAAAUAAACUUUAUGAAUCGAGUGAAGUGGGUGUCAAACGUGUUUGAAGACAGGCAUGCGUAAAUUAGGACGUUGACUGGAAAAAGAACGAGGCAUUAGUUGCUACCCUGAUUCACAAACGAGCGAGACGUGGGGUAAAGUGUAGUGCAGGUCACUUAUGAUAAUACCUAUUCCGGUAAUGCACACCAAUGUGGGCAACCUUGAAGAGAUAAAUUUCGCGAUAAGCCCGAUAAUUAACGCCGCUAAUGGCUAUUAUUAUCUCAGUUCUAAGGGAAAAACGUUCGCGGAACGCGUGCAAAUUUUAGGUGGAACGUGUUAAUCGCAGCACCUUCGUUGCACGACUUUUACGACUGUUUCCUCAACGAUAAUAAUAUCCGAAAUAACAGGAUUGCGAAAUUGGAUCUGCCCGCGACCGUGAGAAGAGAAACGCGUGAUCUGCAAAGAUGUGUCUUUUCGCUUUCUCUUUUUCGUGUUAUGUUCUUUAUAAAUAUAAAUACAGAUGAUUAUUUGAAUUUUGGAAAUAAAAUAUACUAACAAAAAUAGAUUCUAUAGUACAUGUCGGCAUUUAUUGUUAGAGUAGUUUAGUAACGAGAAGCAUGCGAGUGACUUCUUCUGUGUAUGAACGAUGUUAUUUUCUAACAAUAAGUGAAAUCUAAUUCGUAUUUAAAAUAUUUAGUUAUUUAUUUAGAAUUUAGGCGACAGAUUUAGUAUUUAGAUAUUUGAAGAGCUAUUUAAAUUUAUUUAGAAAUUAUUAAGGGGGACUUUAUGCAAUGUCAGAUUGGAUUUUGCAAUAUUUUUUUAGAGUAUAAAUGUUUGUUCUUAUAAUAAUAAUAAUAUCGCUUAAGAAUAUUGAGAAAGUUUCUGCUUUGUGGUAUGAGAUUUUUUGAAACACAGAACUGUGAUUCAGUUAUGCUAUUGAUUAUAGUGUGGUUAAAAGAAGCUUUUAUUUUCCUCCCUAUGUUAUUUUUCAUUGCAACCAAUUACAAUUACAAUUUCAUCAGCACAUAAUCGAAAUAUUGUUCAACGAUUUACUUGUAUCUGAUAACUUCUUUCGCUGUAUAUUUCGAUAACUGAUAAGGAAACGAUACUGAUUGAUUUCCUGCUUACAUCAUUUUUAUGUCAUCUACUUUUACACAUGGAUUUUAUCAAUCUUUAUAAUACCUUGAAAAGAACCUCACAGUCUGUCAUAUAGUAUUUUCUAAACUGUUCUGUCCUACAACGUUAAAGCUAAUAAAAGCUUCAAUAUGCACAACUUCUCAAUUAUCAAACCUAUAAAUUUUAAUAAAUUAAUUGUCGAUUCUACCAAAUAUUAGUAUUAUUCCAAACACAAAUUUAAUAAAAAAUUCAUACUUAAAUGAAUUAGGAAUACGAACGAAUACAACGUUGAUUUUAGCAAACUUUUAAAUAUUCCCGUGCUGUACUGCAAACACAAAUUGAAAAUGUACAAAUGAAAAAAUCUUGUUAAAUUAAAAAUGUGAAAGAUGGAGUUUAGAUAUAUCAAAAUCCCCUUAAUAUCACAGAUCGUAUAUUGCAGAUAGAUUUAUCAAAGUAUGACCUCGAAUCAAAGCUCGAACCGUUAAUUACCUGGCAAUGACGCAUUUCAAGAGAUAACAAGUAUUAUAAAAUGUCAGGUAAUUGCUAACACAAAGCAGUUUUUAUGCAGCAACUUUCUUGUUGAUUAUCACACGGUUCAUAAUUAUCACGACAGAAGAGUAACGCGUUAGAUGACGCAGAUGGUAUGAUCAAUUUACUGACGACCAAGUUUACGAGCAACGCAAUAAUGACGCUGUGAUAAUGUAUCAGUAAUAUCUGUAAUAUUACGUAACCUGCGCAUGGUUGAAGACGCAACAAGCGCUAAAGGUGUUUGUUGCUUUUCGACGCGUGUCAUCCUUGCUCGAAGGAGAAACAGUUGCUGUACAAAUGACGACUACUGUUAGCUUAUCAAGAACCUCAGUAAAGAAAUCAUAGAUCUAAAGUCUGAAGUUCUUUCCUUCUUUCGAUCAUUUACUAUCCAAUUGUAUCUUCUUUAUAUCAUUAAACAAUUUUUUCAAUUCGAUAGGAAAAUAUUAUGUGAAAGAAUUGACGUUCAUAUACCUGAGAUUUACGUUCCUAUCUUAUUGUUAAAUUUCUUAAUACAUUAAGAAUUUUGUCACUUUUCUUAGUGUAUUCAUUUGAUAAUAUCUUUUACGUUAGUAAGUGUAGGUUAAUAAUUGUAUACUAUUCUUUUAAUAGGUACAUUAAUAUUUGUAAUCCUUUUAUUUUAAUUUUGUGCUAUUUUAAAUGUUUGUUUACUUGUUGAAACAAAAGUGACAUUGAAUCAUAAAAAUUCGAGUAUCUUCGUCAGGAUACAUGUACGUGAAUUAAAUAUAGAAGUAGCAAGUUUUAUGCUAAAUUUGUUUUUUGCGUUACGUUUAUAGUUUUUGCAUAAUUUAUGAAUUUCCGUAAUUUAUUUCUACUUCCGGAUAAUAUUUUGAUAUAUAUGUAUAUUUUCGUAUAUGGUCCAGUUAAAAUUUCAUGCACAACUUGUGUAAUAAAUCAUCUCGAAUGCAAUGAAAUCGGGAGAAUGGCAUAGAAUUUUGUUGCGUCUUUAAGUAAAGAUGAGGAAAGUAACUGAAAGUGAGUUGUAACAUUAAGGAAACACGAAACGCUUUGUCAGUAAUUAUGCUGAUAAUGAAAGAACCGAUUUCAAAGUCAUUUUGAUAUCACUUGUCACCUAUCUACGCAAUUAGCUUUGAAAUUAAACACGUUUGGCCUUGCUACGCUUAAAUGUCAUUUCGUCGUCGAUUUCUUCACAAUCACCAAUUAUCUAAAAAUAACAUGCCGAAGGCACUGAUUUUCAGAAAAAGCCACAGCUAAAUGCGCUCUGGAACAUUUAAGAGAAGAAAACUAGGUUUCUCAUUUAUCACAAAAUCCUCUUAUCAAACAAUUCGUCUGCGAUUACACACAGAAUCUGAAGCCUCUAAAACUCUAAAACGCUAACCUGUGUAACAUGACUGGUGGAUUCGUUUCAGAAUCACGAGACAUCGUCGCGAAAAUCAAAAACGACAUUUCUGUAAGCGAUGCGUCGCGAUGUAAUUCACGGAACGUAAUUGGUCGAGGCGGGUUCAAACGUUCGCGCAGCGACAUUCCGUGGCUUUUGGUAUGCAAAAAUCAGGCAGCGAGAACCGUACAAAAGCUCGAGCUCGUGGCGAUAGACAGAGAGAGAGAGAAAGAGAGAGAGAGAGAGAAAGAGAGAAAAAUAAAAAAAAUAUAGAAGAGCAAAGAGGCUCGGCGGCGAAUUGAAAUCACGAUGCGGCAACAACGAGCUUUCGGGCAGCGCGGCGUUUCCGCGCAAAAAUCCAAUGGUUGAAUCGCGUAAUUAUCCCGAAGACGAUUAACGACGACGUCGCGACGCCUCUCUUUUGUUCGAGACCCACCAACCGCCGCCAACUUUCUUCUGUUUUAUUCGGUGCAGGUAAUUAAUUGCCAGUGGUUAUUAAUUAAUUUCGCGGCAUUGUGCGUCCGCUAUGAUUUACGAGAUGUUUGAAACCUCUAAUUGAUUUUGAUGGAAGUUUAUUUUUUCAAUUUUGGAUUUUUUUCGUUGUGGAGUAUUAAGAGGUAAAAAUUCUUAUUCAAUACAUUUUAUACAUAUUUAUAUGAAUCUUAUGAUAUUAAUAUGACGAUAUUUAUGAUUAUAUGGGAAUUUUAGAUACUAAAUCGCUCGCUUUGUCAGUGAUAUUGGAUGUUAAUUGACAUUUAUCGAUAAUUAAUUCGACGGAGAAAGAUAAUUAGGUAUAUUAAUAAUUGACGAAUUUUUAUUGCUAUAUGUCCAAGUAAUAGGUAUCUAUAAAUUUAUAAAAAGGUACUCAAGCACAUAUUUUUUGAUAAAUUUAAUCUCUUCUGAGGAUCCAUAAUUUUUAACUUAAUUAAUCUGUCUCUUACAAAAUUGCCAUCAUCGUUAUCGUUAUCUUGACCAUUACAUGUUACAUAAAUUAUACGCACACCACAUUUAAACGUAUAUAUAUAUCUACUUCAAU